UCCCUGGUGACUCAGAUGGUAAAGCAUCUGCCUGCAAUGCAGGAAACCCAGGUUCAAUCCCUGGGUUGGGAA
rnacentral:tRNA from 1 species